UGUCUACCAGCGUUUGCAAGCCGACUGCCCCUAGCAUUCGUCAGAGCAGUGAACGGUGUCAAGUUUGAAAAUGAGCAUGACUUGGUUCUCUAAAUAAGCAACUGCCCUCUAGCAUUGCUUUUGGUGAGAGGGGAAAACAACGACAAUGUUACGCGCCAGAAAAGCCCGUACUCCAUUUUCAACCCAUUUCGACCUCCUUCGAAAAAGACCCUUUUCCAGCACUAUCAAAGACAGCAACAAUAACAAGAACAAAAACAAAGACAACGUUGAUGGGAAGAUUGAAUCAAAUGUGAGCACUUGCAAUGAGUCAUAUCGUCAGCUUGACAAUCUCGAUUUCAUGACUGCUGCUAAGAUCCUCUUCACUCAGCCUCCAAAGAAGAAGAAAUUUGGGAUAGAUUUCCAUCUGGUACAGCUUUUCUUUGCCUGCAUGCCUUCCUUGGCUGUGUACUUGGUAGCACAAUAUGCACACUAUGAAAUGAGGAAAAUGGAAGCGGAGCUAGAGGAGAGAAAGAAGCAAGAAGAAGAAGCAAAAAGGAAGCAAGAAGAAGAGAAAAAGAAGCAAGAAGAAGAGGAGAAAGCUAAUGAGACAGAACAAAUUGCAACUGAUUCAGAGCUUUUGGAGGUAAAAGUGAGACUAGGUAAAUUAGAGGAGGCAGUAAAGGAAAUUGUUGUUGAAUCAAAGAAACAAUCAGCAGGCAGCAUAACCAAAAGUCAGCAAAAUGUUAGUGAACUAGGUAAAGACAAAAGCACAUCAGAGUCCAGCAGUUCCAUGGAGCAAGACAAGGUUACUAAACAAAAAUCCAAAACAGCAUGCCGCGAUCGAGGUAAAGUGGUUUCUGAUGCUUUCCAAAAGGAUCAGAAGGGUGAGAACCAGAUUGGAGGACCUUCUCAAGAUGCCAAAAGAUGAUGAAAGAGCUUUUCUUGUAUAAGAACAUAACUUUCAUUGAAUUGUUACGAGAUUUGUUUUUUUAGCUGAAACAAACAUUGCCCAAUGAUAUUAUGGGUGUUUGCCUCAUCGCAUUGGCAGAGAUGACAAAGACAGGUUAACAGUUUGCAUUGCUUGCAAGGGAUGUAGAUAUGUGUAAAUUGCAUACUUCUCUCACCAUAAGAAAUCCCAGCUUCUGAUAGAAUAGCCAAAAUCAGAGUCUCCUGGAGAUUGUAAGAUGAGUGGUUGCAGAGUAAGGCUGAGUGAGAAUGUGCUUCUCUUGCCCCCUCUGUCCGUGCCUGCAAAUGUAUAAGGUUAGAGCACGAGGCUUUACUGUGUAGAAGCAUGAGGAUGUGAAGUUCAAAGGAGAUCAUGGUGUAUUGGUUUAUGUUCAAGUGCAUAUAUUAGAGGCAGGGGAACGUUUAACAUUGUACGACUUUAACUUUGAUUUAUUUAUUGGUAUAGCUUGUGAAUAUUUUUUUCUC